GCUGGGUGUGGUGGCACACGCCUGUAAUCCCAGCUACUCAGGAGGCUGAGGCAAGAGAAUCACUUGAGCCCAGGGGGCAGAGGUUGCAGUGAGCUGAGGUCACACCACUGCACUCCAGCCUGGGCAAUAGAGUGAGAUUCUGUCUCAA
rnacentral:SRP_RNA from 1 species